UACGUAGGGUGCGAGCGUUAAUCGGAAUUACUGGGCGUAAAGCGUGCGCAGGCGGUUACAUAAGACAGAUGUGAAAUCCCCGGGCUUAACCUGGGAACUGCGUUUGUGACUGUGUGACUAGAGUACGGCAGAGGGGGGUGGAAUUCCUGGUGUAGCAGUGAAAUGCGUAGAUAUCAGGAGGAACACCGGUGGCGAAGGCGGCUCUCUGGUCCACAACUGACGCUGAGGUGCGAAAGCUAGGGGAGCAAACGGG
rnacentral:rRNA from 1 species